AUUGAACGCUGGCGGCAUGCCUUACACAUGCAAGUCGAACGGCAGCACGGGCUUCGGUCUGGUGGCGAGUGGCGAACGGGUGAGUAAUGUAUCGGAACGUACCAUUGAGUGGGGGAUAACGUAGCGAAAGUUACGCUAAUACCGCAUAUUCUCUCCGGAGGAAAGCAGGGGACCGCAAGGCCUUGCGCUCUUUGAGCGGCCGAUAUCAGAUUAGCUAGUUGGUGGGGUAAAAGCUCACCAAGGCGACGAUCUGUAGCGGGUCUGAGAGGAUGAUCCGCCACACUGGAACUGAGACACGGUCCAGACUCCUACGGGAGGCAGCAGUGGGGAAUUUUGGACAAUGGGGGCAACCCUGAUCUAGCCAUGCCGCGUGAGUGAAGAAGGCCUUCGGGUUGUAAAGCUCUUUCGGCCGGGAAAAAAUCGCAUGGAUUAAUACUCUGUGUGGAUGAUGGUACCGGAAUAAGAAGCACCGGCUAACUACGUGCCAGCAGCCGCGGUAACAC
rnacentral:rRNA from 1 species